UUAAGUUCAGCGGGUAUUCCUACCUGAUUCGAGGUCAACUUUAAAAAAGUUGGUGCGUUUUACGGCAGUGGCCGCGCCGCGCUCCAGCUGCGAGAUUUGUGCUACUACGCAGAGGGAGGCCGCGACGAGGCCGCCAAUUCAUUUCGGGGGCGGCCCGGCGCCUGCUACGGCAGCAGCAGGGCACCAGUUGGCCGGUCCCC
rnacentral:misc_RNA from 1 species